rnacentral:rRNA from 1 species
GGGCUCACACAAGCGGUGGAGGAUGUGGCUUAAUUCGAGGCUACGCGAAGAACCUUAUCCUGGUCUUGACAUGCUUGGGAACCCUCCUGAAAGGGAGGGGUGCCUUUCGGGGAGCCCUUGCACAGGUGCUGCAUGGCUGUCGUCAGCUCGUGUCGUGAGAUGUCGGGUUAAGUCCCUUAACGAGCGAAACCCUUGUCCUUAGUUGCCAGCGGUUCGGCCGGGGACUCUAAGGAGACUGCCGGUGUUAAACCGGAGGAAGGUGGGGAUGACGUCAAGUCCUCAUGGCCUUUAUGACCAGGGCUGCACACGUCCUACAAUGGCACGUACAAAGAGAAGCAAGACCGUAAGGUGGAGCAAAUCCCAAAAAGCGUGCCCCAGUUCGGAUUGCAGGCUGCAACUCGCCUGCAUGAAGCCGGAAUCGCUAGUAA